AACAUUGAAACACAGGUUCUCAUAUAAUCACUGAAGUUAAGUUAUGUUGAACCUGGUCAGUACCUAAAUGAGUGACCUCUUGGGAAUACUGGGUGUUGUCA